rnacentral:rRNA from 1 species
AUCUACAGCCAUGCUACCCUGAACACGCCUGAUCCCAUCUGAUCUCGGAAGCUAAGCAGGGUUGGGCCUGGUUAGUACUUGGAUGAGAGACCACCUAGAAAGACCAGGUGCUGUAGGCA